rnacentral:rRNA from 1 species
ACACGGAGCUUGCUCUGUGGGAUCAGUGGCGAACGGGUGAGUAACACGUGAGCAACCUGCCCCUGACUCUGGGAUAAGCGCUGGAAACGGCGUCUAAUACUGGAUAUGUGACGUGACCGCAUGGUCUGCGUUUGGAAAGAUUUUUCGGUUGGGGAUGGGCUCGCGGCCUAUCAGCUUGUUGGUGAGGUAAUGGCUCACCAAGGCGUCGACGGGUAGCCGGCCUGAGAGGGUGACCGGCCACACUGGGACUGAGACACGGCCCAGACUCCUACGGGAGGCAGCAGUGGGGAAUAUUGCACAAUGGGCGGAAGCCUGAUGCAGCAACGCCGCGUGAGGGAUGACGGCCUUCGGGUUGUAAACCUCUUUUAGCAGGGAAGAAGCGAGAGUGACGGUACCUGCAGAAAAAGCACCGGCUAACUACGUGCCAGCAGCCGCGGUAAU